CCAGCAGCCGCGGUAAUUCCAGCUCCAAUAGCGUAUAUUAAAGUUGUUGUGGUUAAAAAGCUCGUAGUUGGAUCUCAACAGCGUGGUGGCGGUCGGCAUGCUUGCCGUUACUGCUGUCUUGCGCUGUGCUUUUUGCUGGAGGGUGGCAGGUGCUCUUAAUCGGGUGUCUGUUGUCGCCAGCAGGUUUACUUUGAAAAAAUUAGAGUGCUCAAAGCAGGCUGUUACGCCUGAAUAUUCGUGCAUGGAAUAAUAGAAUAGGACGUCGAUCCUAUUUUGUUGGUUUUCGGGAACCGACUUAAUGAUUAAAAGGGACUGCUCGGGGGCAUUUGUAUUCAGGCGCUAGAGGUGAAAUUCUUGGACCGCCUGAAGACACACUACUGCGAAAGCAUUUGCCAAGGAUGUUUUCAUUAAUCAAU
rnacentral:rRNA from 1 species